UAAGGAAUAUUGGUCAAUGGGCGAAAGCCUGAACCAGCCAUGCCGCGUGAGGGAUGAAGGUCCUCUGGAUUGUAAACCUCUUUUAUCUGUGAAUAAACGUUCCGUUUCUACGGAAUUUGAAGGUAAUAGAUGAAUAAGCACCGGCUAACUCCGUGCCAGCAGCCGCGGUAAUACGGAGGGUGCAAGCGUUAUCCGGAUUUACUGGGUUUAAAGGGUGCGUAGGUGGGUUGGGUAGUCAGUGGUGAAAUACUUUCGCUUAACGAAGGAACUGCCAUUGAUACUCUCAAUCUUGAAUACAGUGGAGGUGGGCGGAAUGCGUCAUGUAGUGGUGAAAUACUUAGAUAUGACGCAGAACACCUAUUGCGAAGGCAGCUCGCUACACUGUCAUUGACACUGAGGCACGAAAGCGUGGGGAUCAAACAG
rnacentral:rRNA from 1 species